rnacentral:misc_RNA from 1 species
AAGUCGUAACAAGGUCUCCGUUGGUGAACCAGCGGAGGGAUCAUUAAAGAGUUGCAAAACUCCCAACCAUUGUGAACGAACCUUUAUGCUAAGGCGAGCGGCGCUCUGUCGCUGUAAGCUGACGCAUUAAACUCUUAAUUCAGUGAAUAUCUGAGUAGCUUAUUUAAUAAGUCAAAACUUUCAACAACGGAUCUCUUGGUUCUG